rnacentral:rRNA from 1 species
UUAAAGAGUUCUAUAACUCCCAAACCCAUGUGAACAUACCUAACGUUGCCUCGGCAGGUCGCACCUACCUUGUAGCACCCUACCCUGUAGGGCCUACCCGGGAGGUGCGGGUAAGCCUGCCGGCGGCCCACCAAACUCUGUUUGAUAUUGAAUUCUGAACCUAUAACUAAAUAAGUUAAAACUUUCAACAACGGAUCUCUUGGUUCUGGCAUCGAUGAAGAACGCAGCGAAAUGCGAUAAGUAAUGUGAAUUGCAGAAUUCAGUGAAUCAUCGAAUCUUUGAACGCAUAUUGCGCCCAUUAGUAUUCUAGUGGGCAGGACCGUUCGAGCGUCAUUUCAACCCUUAAGCCUUCGUUGCUUAGUGUUGGGAGCCUACGGCAACGUAGCUCCUCAAAGUUAGUGGCGGAGUUGGUUCACACUCUAGACGUAGUAAUUUUUUAUCUCGCCUAUUAGUUGGACUAAUCCCCUGCCGUAAAACCCCCAAUUUAUCAAGGUUGACCUCGAAUCGGUUCAGACAAACUCGCUAAAUUGAAGCAUCUUAGUCAGCGAAGGAAAAGAAACCAACAGGGAUUGCCCUAGUAACGGCGAGUGAAGCGGCAACAGCUCAAAUUUGAAAUCUGGCCCUCGGGUCCGAGUUGU